rnacentral:rRNA from 1 species
GACGAACGCUGGCGGCGUGCCUAAUACAUGCAAGUAGAACGCUGAAGAGAGGAGCUUGCUCUUCUUGGAUGAGUUGCGAACGGGUGAGUAACGCGUAGGUAACCUGCCUGGUAGCGGGGGAUAACUAUUGGAAACGAUAGCUAAUACCGCAUGAAAUUGCUUAUCGCAUGAUAAUUAAUUGAAAGAUGCAAUUGCAUCACUACCAGAUGGACCUGCGUUGUAUUAGCUAGUUGGUGAGGUAACGGCUCACCAAGGCGACGAUACAUAGCCGACCUGAGAGGGUGAUCGGCCACACUGGGACUGAGACACGGCCCAGACUCCUACGGGAGGCAGCAGUAGGGAAUCUUCGGCAAUGGGGGGAACCCUGACCGAGCAACGCCGCGUGAGUGAAGAAGGUUUUCGGAUCGUAAAGCUCUGUUGUUAAGGAAGAACGAGUGUGAGAAUGGAAAGUUCAUACUGUGACGGACUAACCAGAAAGGAC